rnacentral:rRNA from 1 species
GACGAACGCUGGCGGCGUGCUUAACACAUGCAAGUCACGGGGGCCCGCAAGGGUAACCGGCGAACGGGUGCGUAACACGUGAGCAAUCUGCUGUACACUGGGGGAUAGCCGGCCCAACGGCCGGGUAAUACCGCAUACGUUCUUCGGGCGGCAUCGCUUGAAGAAGAAACCUCCGGGGGUGUACGAGGAGCUCGCGGCCUAUCAGGUAGUGGGUGGGGGCACGGCCUACGAAGCCAUUGACGGGUAGCUGGUCUGAGAGGAUGGCCAGCCACAUUGGGACUGAGAUACGGCCCAGACUCCUACGGGCGGCAGCAGUGGGGAAUAUUGCGCAAUGGCCGCAAGGCUGACGCAGCGACGCCGCGUGGGGGAUGAAGCAUUUCGGUGUGUAAACCCCUGUUGCUCGGGACGAACAACGAGUUUCGACUCGUCUGACGGUACCGGGUGAGGAAGCACCGGCUAACUCCGUGCCAGCAGCCGCCGCCGUAA